rnacentral:tRNA from 1 species
GUUUGUCGAUCAGCGAAGAGCAACUGAUUCGUAAUCAGUAGGUCGGUGGUUCGACUCCACUCAACAGCACCA